GGGCCCAUAGCUCAGCGGUCAGAGCGACCGGCUCAUAACCGGUUGGUCGCAGGUUCGAACCCUGCUGGGCCCA
rnacentral:tRNA from 1 species